CGCCCGUCAAACCAUGGGAGCUGGUAAUGCCCGAAGUCGGUUUAUAAAGAAACUGCCUAAGGCAGGACUGGUGACUGGGGUUAAGUCGUAACAAGGUAUCCCUACGAGAACGUGGGGAUGGAUUACCUCCUUUCUACGGAGUACAUAAAGUCAAAAUAAUUGACUUAUUAACCUUUUUUACUAGACCUUUUAAACAAUUUUGUCAUGUGACUUUUAUUAUGGUCGGAGUCUUAUAUCUAGUUUUGAGAGAACAUCUCUCAAUUGUUCUUUGAAAACUGAAUAGUAAAAUAUUUUUCGAUAUUUACAACGACAUCAAAUAAAUUAAUUUGGUUAAUUUGUUUUGAUUCAUCGAGUAAUCAUAAAGAAAUAUUAUGAUUCAUUGAAAUGUCUUAAAAUACACAUCUAAACAUAACAAUAGGAAAAUACUACUUUUAAAUAAGGAAGAGUUUGUGGUGGAUGCCUUGGGUCUGGAAGUCGAUGAGGGACGUGAUUACCUGCGAUAAGCCUCGUGGAGCUGGAAAUGCGCAUUGAAACGGGGAUUUCCGAAUGGGGAAACCUAGCUAGGGUAAUGCCUAGUUGCAUAUGUCUGAAUUCAUAGGACAUAUUAGCGAGACACCUUGUGAACUGAAACAUCUUAGUAGCAAGAGGAAGAGGAAAUAAAUAAUGAUUUCUUCAGUAGCGGCGAGCGAACGAGAAAGAGCCCAAACCAUUUAAAAUGGGGUUGUAGGACAGUCUACAUAGAGUGACAAAAUUUAAUGAUAGCAGAAGCUUUUGGGAAGAAGCGGCAUAGAGGGUGAUACCCCCGUAAGUGAAAUUAUUAAAUCUCUUGACUGUAUCCUGAGUAGGGCGGGGCACGUGAAACCCUGUCUGAAUCUGCCGGGACCACCCGGUAAGGCUAAAUACUAACCAGACACCGAUAGUGAACUA
rnacentral:sRNA from 2 species